rnacentral:rRNA from 1 species
GAUUGAACGCUGGCGGCAGGCCUAACACAUGCAAGUCGAGCGGUAGAGAGAAGCUUGCUUCUCUUGAGAGCGGCGGACGGGUGAGUAAUGCCUAGGAAUCUGCCUAGUGGUGGGGGAUAACGUUCGGAAACGGACGCUAAUACCGCAUACGUCCUACGGGAGAAAGCGGGGGAUCUUCGGACCUCGCGCCAUUAGAUGAGCCUAGGUCGGAUUAGCUAGUUGGUGAGGUAAUGGCUCACCAAGGCGACGAUCCGUAACUGGUCUGAGAGGAUGAUCAGUCACACUGGAACUGAGACACGGUCCAGACUCCUACGGGAGGCAGCAGUGGGGAAUAUUGGACAAUGGGCGAAAGCCUGAUCCAGCCAUGCCGCGUGUGUGAAGAAGGUCUUCGGAUUGUAAAGCACUUUAAGUUGGGAGGAAGGGCAGUAACCUAAUACGUUAUUGUUUUGACGUUACCGACAGAAUAAGCACCGGCUAACUUC